rnacentral:piRNA from 1 species
UGAACUGAAGAGCCCAGUCCCCUGGAC